UAACGCGUGAGGGAUGACGGCCUAUGGGUUGUAAACCUCUUUUUUCAGGGAGGAAUCAAAUGACGUGUACCUGAAGAAUAAGCAUCGGCUAACUCCGUGCCAGCAGCCGCGGUAAGACGGAGGAUGCAAGUGUUAUCCGGAAUCACUGGGCGUAAAGCGUCUGUAGGUGGUCCAAUAAGUCAACUGUUAAAUCUUGAGGCUCAACCUCAAAAUCGCAGUCGAAACUAUUAGACUAGAGUAUAGUAGGGGUAAAGGGAAUUUCCAGUGGAGCGGUGAAAUGCGUAGAGAUUGGAAAGAACACCGAUGGCGAAGGCACUUUACUGGGCUAUUACUAACACUCAGAGACGAAAGCUAGGGUAGCAAAUGGGAUUAGAUACCCCAGUAGUC
rnacentral:rRNA from 1 species